rnacentral:misc_RNA from 1 species
AUAAUAAUAAUUAAAUAAUUUAAAUUAAAGUAGAAAAUUAAAAAGAAAAGAAGAGAAGGCAAGGUUAUUUAUUAUUAAAUUAUGUUUACGUUUAUCAUUUAACAAUGAUUUUUUUAGGCAACAGAAUUGUUAUUUAUAAUAUAAAGUAAAAUGGAAACACAGGAAGACUUGAAGAAAGCAAAGACAAUUGAAGAAAAUAAAAAUUAAAAGGAAAAGAUAAGAAAAAAUACUAUGAGUAAAGACUAAAGAGGUACUUUUACUGCUCUCAAGAACAGUUUGAGAACAGUAAAAGUUAGCCCUCUUUUUGUAUAAUAUAAUAAUAAUAAUAAUGUUCUGAAAAUAGGCUUUUGAUUUCAAUUAAAACAUUUUUUAAGUCAUUGUAACUAUUUGCGAAGUUCCCAGUGAUAUUGUACCUUGUAACUUCAAGGACCAACCAAAUGGUGUUUCCCUUUGCUCAAUCGUAGUAAGCCAUAGAAAUUGCUUUUUCACUUAAAUGGUCGUCAAUGCACAUAUUCUUUUUCUUGGAGGUGGAUUUGUGUAGCCAAGGGGGGAGCUUCCUACUACAGAUACCUUUUGAAAUUGAUAAUUAAUUUCCAACUUGAAUGCAAAAGAGCUUUUUGGAAACAAGUUACAGAUAAUUAAUUUUUAAUAAUUCUAUUUGACAAUAUUUGACAGACUCUCAAAAGAUUAACAGCAGAGGUUAAGGUGCAUGCAUUUGAUAUCUG